UAAGUAAUCACCCUAUUCUUCAAGGGAAGCAGGCAAUAGAUAACACAGUGACAGUAGCGUCCCAGGAGAUAGCAAAAUGUGAGAGCAACACACCGUCAGCAGGGGAGAGCAAUUGGCCCUAUCCAUCCACAGCACAGCGUCCCUGUGGUUGAAGG